CUCGGCAGCAAUUCAAGACAUAGGCAAUGAAUUGGAGCCAACUUAACGACUUAGGUAGAGUUUAUAAUUGUUUGUAGUUGAGAAAAUUGGACUAGAAUGAAGCCUUGUGGAAUCCAAGAAGAAUUCGUUAUUCUUUAGCUGCUUUCAUCUCCAACUGUGUUAGGCAUCCUCCUAAGAUGGUCCCCAAGAUGGCAGACCCCUGGAAUCAUCUGUACAAUUUCCUCUCUUUUCACAGGCUUUUAUGAGUUGAUUUUUCAGCGAACCUUCAAGGGGCUAAGGGGAACAUUACCCUUGGCCACUAUACUGCCAACAACCUAUGAGCCUGGAAGAGGAUCCCAAGUCUCAGAUGAAACCAGGACCUCAGCCAACACCUUGAUUUCAGCCUCAUGAGAUCCUAAGCAGAGGGUACAGUAAAGCCACAUAUGGUGCCUAACCAAAAAAACUAUGAGAUAAUAAAGAUGUGUUUUGGAAGCUGCUAAACUGGUGUUGAUUUGUUACAUAGCAAUUAAAAACUAAUAUACAAACACUACGGUAUUUGUUUUCUUCAUUAAUUAAACAUAACGUAUCCUCACUUCUGUAUCCAUCAGUAAGGCAAGGUUCUGUGAUAAAGACCUGCCUGCAUUGUACGUCUGUAUGGUUCCUUUCCCUAUCCCAAAUCUUAGAUGCAUAUUUUGAUUGAUGAUGAUUGUCCUUGAUCUAAGAGAUGAUGUGAUAUCCUGCUACCCCAUUCUUCAACCCCCUCAGACACUGGGAUCAUUGUAGAAUGAUUCAUAACAUUCCCUGGGACCCCAACACAUGGUGUUCUAACGUUUCUCAGUCUACAAUACAGUAGUCCCUAAAUCACAUGACAACUUUUCCUAUUGUAGAAAAAGUGCACGCAGAGGCGAUGUGGUGGCUGAUCUGCGGCAGCAGAUGAGGUCCUGUAUUCUGCUCCUGCCCCACACUGACCAGAUGCCCAUUUAGACAAGGUUUCCCCUGCUUCCACUCAUAGACACAGUUAUCUCUCAGACUCAAGGUGGCCUCCAAGUCCUUAGCAUCCACUUCUUGUAGAAGCAGUGCCUUCCCCUUUGCAGGCCAGUGACUUUUUUUAGAUUCUCAAACACAAAGUGACUGAUCAUUCACCUUUUCCUUGGCCUGAUUGACUAUAGGAAUACCAGAAUGGUGGUGGAGAGGGGUAAGGAGUUGGUGUAAUGUUUCACACCUCAAAGGUAUUCACCAACACUAGGUCACAAGCUCUAUCUCUCUCUCUUUCUCACACACACACACACACACACACACACACACACACAUUCUCUGGAAGGUCAUCUCAUCACAGAUUUACAGCCCUGUAAUCACCCUUGAAUGAACCUCUUCGGGAGGUGCUUGGGAAAGCAAGGAGAGAAGACAGCUUGCUCAUUCUGUCACAUGCAUUAUUGGAUUUGGGCAAUUAUUUUAAUCCCCAUAGUAGAAACUUGCUCAUAUUUCCAUAUUGGUACAAACUCUUCAGUCUACUUAAGUGGAUAUCCAAGGAACUAUUUAAUUUCCAACUUAAUAGUAUCAUGGGGAAAAAAGACAAUAACAAAACAAUUUUGAGUCAAAUAAAUGGUCUCAUAUGAAUGGCAUCUGCAAUACCUUCAACAACUAGGCAGAAGAUAUAUGAUGCUAUCAUAGUUUUCUUUUAAAAAAUCACCAAAGCAGUUUCAUCUUUAACACCCUACCUAAGAUUUCUAAAUGAUAGCCUAUCAAAUUAUAUCCCCAUUAGGUAUAUAAUAGCUCCUUUCUUACCUUAGAUAAAUAUAUUCUUGUUUCACAAGUUUUUUUAAAAGGCUUUGCUUGAAAUUAAAAUCUGACCAACAAACUAGAGCAGAGAUAAUUCCUCAGUGUCAAUAGGCUUCCUUGGAAACUUACCCACAUAUAACCAAUGCAGCUUCACUCGUGUAUAGAAUAUACUGACAGAGAAAAAGAAAAUACAGAUGACAUUACAAUCAUAAACACCCUAUUUCCUGUUUUUAAAAAAACAUGUCUUCAGAAGUGCUUUUUUUACAAAAAUUUAUUUUAAGUUCUGGGAUACACGUGCAGAAUGUGCAGAUUUGUUCCAUAGGUAUACAUGUGCCAUGGUGGUUUGCUGCACCCAUCAACCUGUCAUCUAGGUUUUAAGCCACGCAUAGAUUAGGUGUUUGUCCUAAUGCUCUCCCUCCCCUUUCCCCCAACCCCCGACAGGCCCCAGUGUGUGAUGUUCUCCUCCCUGUGUUCAUAUGUUCUCAUUGUUCAACUCCCACUUCUGAGUGAGAACAUGUGGUGUUUGGUUUUCUGUUUCUGUGUUAGUUUGCUGAGAAUGAUGGCUUCCAGCUUCAUCCAUGUCCCUUCAAAGGACAUGAACUCAUCCUUUUUUAUGGCUGCAUAGUAUUCCAUGGUGUGCAUGUGCCACAUUUUCGUUAUCCAAUCUGUCAUUGACGGGCAUUUGGGUUGGUUCCAGGUCUUUGCUAUUGUAAAUAGUGCUGCAAUAAAAAUACAUGCACAUGUGUCUUUAUAGUAGAGUAAUUUAUAUUCCUUUGGGUAUAUACCAAGUAAUGGGAUUGCUGGGUCAAAUGGUAUUUCUGGUUCUAUAUCCUUGGGGAAUCGCCACACUGUCUUCCACAAUGGUUGAACUAAUUUACACUCCCACCAACAGUGUAAAAGUGUUCCUAUUUCUCCACAGCCUCGCUAGCAGCUGUUGUUUCCUGACUUUUUAAUAAUCACCAUUCUAACUGGCAUGAGAUGGUAUCUCAUUGUGGUUUUGAUUUGCAUUUCUCUAAUGACCAGUGAUGAUGAGCUUUUUUCAUUUGUUUGUUGGCCACAUAAAUGUCUUCUUUUGAGAAGUGCCUGUUCAUAUCCUUCACCCAAUUUUUGAUGGGAUUUCUCAUUUGUUCUUUUUUUCCUGUAAAUUUGUUUAAGUUCCUUGUAGAUUCUGGAUAUUAGACCUUUAUCAGUUGGGUAGACUGCAAAAAUUUUCUCCCAUUCUGUAGGUUGCCUGUUCACUUUAAUGAUAGUUUCUUUUGCUGUGCAGAAGCUCUUUAGUUUAUUUAGAUCCCAUUUGUUAAUUUUGGCUUUUGUCACAAUUGCUUUUUGUGUUUUAGUCAUGAAGUCUUUCCCCAUGCCUAUGUCCUAAAUGGUAUUGCCUAGGUUUUCUUCUAGGGUUUUUAUGGUUUUGGGUUUUACAAUUAAUUCUUUAAUCCAUCCUGAGUUAAUUUUUGUAUAAGGUGUAAGGAAGGGGUCCAGGUUCAGUUUUCUGCAUAUGACUAGCCAGUUUUCCAAACACCAUUUAUUAAAUAAGGAAUACUUUCCCCAUUGCUUGUUUUUGUCAGGUUCGCCGAAGAUUGGAUGGUUGUAGAUGUGUGGUGUUAUUUCUGAGGUCUCUGUUCUGUUCCAUUGUUCUAUAUAUCUGUGUUGGUACCAGUACCAUGCUGUUUUGGCUACUGUAGCCUUGUAGUAUAGCAUGAGGUCAGGUAGCAUGAUGCCUCCAGCUUUGUUAUUUUUGCUUAGGAUUGUCUUGGCUAAACUGACUCUUUUUCGGCUCCAUAUGAAAUUUAAAGUAGCUUUUUUCUAAUUCUGCAAAGAAAGUCGAUGGUAGCUUGAUGGGAAUAGCAUUGAAUCUAUAAAUUACUUUGAGCAGUAUGGCCAUUUUCAUGAUAUUGAUUCUUUCUAUCCAUGAAUAUGGAAUUUUUUUCCAUUUGUUUGUGUGCUCUCUUAUUUCCUUGAGCAGUGAUUUGUAGUUCUCCUUGAAAAGGUCACUCAUGUCCCUUGUAAGUUGUAUUCCUACAUAUUAUAUUCUCUUUGUAGCAAUUUUGACGUGAGUUCACUCAAAAUUUGGCUCUCUGCUUGUCUACUAUUGGUGUAUAGGAAUGCUUGUCAUUUUUGCACAUUGAUUUUUUAUCCUGAGACUUUGCUAAAGUUGCUUAUCAGCUUAAGGAGUUUUGGGGCUGAGACAAUAGGGUUUUCUAAAUAUACUAUCAUGUCAUCUGCAAAGAGAGACAAUUUGACUUCCUGUCUUCCUGUUUGAAUACGCUUUAUUUCUUUCUCUUGCCUGAUUGCCCUGGCCAGAACUUCCAAUAUUAUGUUGAAUAAGAGUGGUGAGAGAGGGCAUCCUUGUCUUCUGCUGGUUUUCAAAGGGAAUGCUUCCAGCUUUUGCCCAUUCAGUAUGAUAUAGGCUGUGGGUUUGUCAUAAAUAGCUCUUAUUAUUUUGAGAUACGUUCCAUCGAUACUUAGUUUAUUGAGAGUUUUUAGCAUGAAGGGAUGUUGAAUUUCAUCAAAGGCCUUUUCUGCAUCUAUGAGAUAAUCUUGUGGUUUUUGUCAUUGGUUCUGUUUAUGUGAUGCAUUAUGUUUACUGAUUAGCAUAUGUUGAACCAGCCUUGCAUCUCAGGGAUGAAGCCGACUUGAUCGUGGUGGAUAAGCUUUUUGAUGUGCUGCUCGAUUCAGUUUGCCAGUAUUUUACUGAGGAUUUUCACAUCAAUGUUCAUCAGGGAUAUUGGCCUGAAAUUUUCUUUUUUUGUUGCAUCUCUGCCAGGUUUUGGUAUCAGGAUGACGCUGGCCUCAUAAAAUGAGUUAGGGAGGAAUCUCUCUUUUUCUAUUGUUUGGAAUAGUUUCAGAAGGAAUGGUACAAGCUCCUCUUAGUACCUCUGGUAGAAUUUGGCUAUGAAUCCGUCUGGUACUGGGCUUUUUUGUUGUUGUUGGUGGUGGUGGUGGAGGUGGUAGGCUAUUAAUUACUGCCUCAAUUUCAGAACUUGUUACUGAUCUAUUCAAAGAUUCAACUUCUUCCUGAUUUAGUCUUUGGAGGUUGUGUGUGUCCAGGAAUUUAUCUAUUUCCUCUAGAUUUUCUAGUUUAUUUGCACAUAGGUGUUUAUAGUAUUCUCUGAUGGUAGUUUGUAUUUCUGUGGCAUCAGUGGUGAUAUCCCCUUUAUCAUUUUUUAUUGUGUAUAUUUGAUUCUUCUCUCUUUUCUUCUUUAUUAGUCUAGCUAGCAGUCUAACUAUUUUGUUAAUCUUUUCAAAUCCCCAGCUCCUGGAUUCAUUGAUUUUUUAGAAGGGUUUUUGUGUCUCUAUCUCCUUCAGUUCUGCUCUGAUCUUAGUUAUUUCUUGUACUCUGCUAGCUUUUGAAUUUGUUUGCUCUUGCUUCUCUAGUUCUUUUAAUUGUGAUGUUACGGUGUCAAUUUCAGUUCUUUCCAGCUUUCUGAUGUGGGCAUUUAGUGCUAUAUAUUUCCCCCUUAACACUGGUUUAGCUGUGUCCCAGAGAUUCUGGUACAUUGUCUCUUUGUUCUCAUUAGUUUCAGAAAACUUCUUUAUUUCUGUCUUAAUUUUGUUAUUUACCCAGUAGUCAUUCAGGAGCAAGUUGUUUCAAUUUCCAUGUAGUUGUGCAGUUUUGACUGAGUUUCUUAAUCCUGAGUUCUAAUUUGAUUGCACUGUGGUCUGAGAGACUGUUAUGAUUUCCAUUCUUUUGCAUUUGCUAAGGAGUGUUUUACUUCCAAUUAUGUGGUCAAUUUUAUAAAGUGCUAUGUGGCACUAAGAAAAAUGUAUAUUGUGUUGAUUUGGGGUGGAGAGUUCUGUAGAUGUCUAUUAGGUCCACUUGGUCCAGAGCUGAGUUUGAGUCCUGAAUAUCCUUGUUAAUUUUUCUUCAUUAAUUAAUUGAUCUGUUCAUUGAUCUAAUAUUGACAGUGGGGUGUUAAAGUCCCCCAUUACAUUACAACUGUGUGGGAGUAUAAGUCUCUUUGUAG
rnacentral:lncRNA from 10 species